GUGGGGAAUAUUGGACAAUGGGCGCAAGCCUGAUCCAGCCAUGCCGCGUGAGUGAUGAAGGUCUUAGGAUUGUAAAGCUCUUUCACCGAUGAAGAUAAUGACGGUAGUCGGAGAAGAAGCCCCGGCUAACUUCGUGCCAGCAGCCGCGGUAAUACGAAGGGGGCUAGCGUUGUUCGGAAUUACUGGGCGUAAAGCGCAUGUAGGCGGAUAUUUAAGUCAGGGGUGAAAUCCCGCAGCUCAACUGCGGAACUGCCUUUGAUACUGGGUAUCUUGAGUAUGGAAGAGGUGAGUGGAAUUCCGAGUGUAGAGGUGAAAUUCGUAGAUAUUCGGAGGAACACCAGUGGCGAAGGCGGCUCACUGGUCCAUUACUGACGCUGAGGUGCGAAAGCGUGGGGAGCAAACAGGAUUAGAAACCCCGGUAGUCC
rnacentral:rRNA from 1 species